GACGAACGCUGGCGGCGUGCUUAACACAUGCAAGUCGAACGGAAAGGCCCUGCUUUUGUGGGGUGCUCGAGUGGCGAACGGGUGAGUAACACGUGAGUAACCUGCCCUUGACUUUGGGAUAACUUAAGGUAACUGGGGCUAAUACCGGAUAGGAACUCCCGUUGCAGGGUGGGGGUUGGAAAGUUUCGGCGGUCGGGGAUGGACUCGCGGCUUACCAGCUUGCUGGUGGGGUAGUGGCUUACCAAGGCUUUGACGGAUAGCCGGCCUGUGAGGGUGACCGGCCACAUUGGGACUGAGAUACGGCCCAGUCUCCAACGGUAGGCAGCAGUGGGGAGUAUGGCACAGUGGGCGGGAGCCUGAUGCAGCAACGCCGCGUGCGGGAUGACGGCUUUCGGGUUGUGAACCGCUUUCGCCUGUGACGAAGCGGGAGUGACGGUAAUGAGUAAAGAAGCACCGGCUAACUACGUG
rnacentral:rRNA from 1 species